GCCCUUCACGUCGGGGGUGUUUGUGUGUUUGUGAAGCAGCAUAAACAGCCCCGAUUUGACAGGU
rfam:Meleagrid herpesvirus 1 strain FC126, complete genome.